GACCAGAACACUAAGGAGCAGUAGGCAUUGUCCCUAGAACUGCGCAGUCUUCAGCUGAGACUAAGAUCAGUAGGUGGUGGUAAUGCACCUGUUCGUUGGUCUGCCAAACCAGUAGGCAUUCGGCAUUGGAAGACAGCAAUGGACAAGUUUUUGAUUGCACUCGGCUGUGCACCAAAAGGUUUCACCACUGUCAAAGGCUAUAACGAGAAAUUAACGGAAGAAGCAAAACUCGGAGACCUGUUCCUGGUGAAAGAAGCUAACAGUAGCGAUGGAUCCAGUCUAGGAUACUACCAGGCUGGCGUUUACUGCAGUGAAGACCGGGAUAUCAUUCUCUUUACAUGUAAAUCUCUAAAUAUCCAUGUAAUGAACUCUUCA